rnacentral:rRNA from 1 species
UUGAAAGGGAAACGAUUGAAGCCAGUCGUACCUUCGGGUAAUCAGCCUUUCGGGUGCGAUUCUGUGGAGUGUGAGGAGCUUAACACCUUCAUGCUUUGCAUAUUUGUGCUCUUGGGUGUACUUGCCCGUGUGGUUGGUUAACAUCAAUUUUAAUUAUCAUAAAAUGACUGGAGGAAUGUAGCUUCGAUCUCGUAUUGAAGUGUUAUAGCCUUCGGUAGAUGUGAUGAUCGAGAUUGAGGAUUGCAACGGAUACCCUUCGGGGCUACCUGUCUGGUCUCUGAUCGUUGCUUAGGUGCCGAAAGCAUGCUUACGGUCAUUUAAGUUGACGGUCAAAAGGUUAGAACGUGAUUACAUUCGUUAAGGAUGUUGACGUA